rnacentral:rRNA from 1 species
UACGAGGGGGGCGAGCGUUUGUUCGGAAUUAUUGGGCGUAAAGGGUGCGUAGGCGGUUUGGUAAGUCUGAUGUGAAAUCUAUGGGCUCAACUCAUAGUCUGCAUCGGAAACUGCCGGGCUUGAGUGUGGGAGAGGUGAGUGGAAUUCCUGGUGUAGCGGUGAAAUGCGUAGAUAUCAGGAGGAACACCUGUGGCGAAAGCGGCUCACUGGACCAUAACUGACGCUGAUGCACGAAAGCUAGGGGAGCGAACAGG